rnacentral:rRNA from 1 species
UUGAACGCUGGCGGCAGGCCUAACACAUGCAAGUCGAGCGGAUGAAGGGAGCUUGCUCCUGGAUUCAGCGGCGGACGGAUGAGUAAUGCCUAGGAAUCUGCCUGGUAGUGGGGGAUAACGUCCGGAAACGGGCGCUAAUACCGCAUACGUCCUGAGGGAGAAAGUGGGGGAUCUUCGGACCUCACGCUAUCAGAUGAGCCUAGGUCGGAUUAGCUAGUUGGUGGGGUAAAGGCCUACCAAGGCGACGAUCCGUAACUG